UGGCAGUCCACAAGGAUCCAGGUACCUUC
rnacentral:piRNA from 2 species